rnacentral:rRNA from 1 species
CCUACGGGAGGCAGCAGUGAGGAAUAUUGGUCAAUGGACGAGAGUCUGAACCAGCCAAGUAGCGUGAAGGAUGACUGCCCUAUGGGUUGUACACUUCUUUUAUAUGGGAAUAAAAUGUUCCACGUGUGGGAUUUUGUAUGUACCAUAUGAAUAAGGAUCGGCUAACUCCGUGCCAGCAGCCGCGGUAAUACGGAGGAUCCGAGCGUUAUCCGGAUUUAUUGGGUUUAACGGGAGCGUAGAUGGGUUGUUACGUCAGUUGUGAAAGUUUGCGGCUCAACCGUAAAAUUGCAAUUGAUACUGGCAGUCUGGAGUACAGUUGAGGUAGGCGGAAUUCGUGGUGGAGCGGUGAAAUGCUUAGAUAUCACGAAGAACCCCGAUUGCGAAGGCAGCUUACUAAACUGUGACUGACAUUGAUGCUCGAAAGUGUGGGUAUCAAACAGGAUUAGAUACCCCUGUAGUC